rnacentral:rRNA from 1 species
UACAGAGGUCUCGAGCGUUAGGCGGAAUCACUGGGCUUAAAGCGUGUGUAGGCGGAUCGUUAAGUACCUUGUGAAAUCCCACGGCUUAACCGUGGAACUGCUUGGUAUACUGGCGGUCUUGAGCCAGCUAGGGGCUACCGGAACAAAUGGUGGAGCGGUGAAAUGCGUAGAGAUCGGGAAGAAGGCCGGUGGCGAAGGCGGCUCUCUGGAACGUUCCUGACACUGAGGCACGAAAGCGUGGGGAGCAAACAGG